AAUAAUUUAAUUUUAAUAAUUUAUUUUGCUUUAUUUAUAAGUUUGAUUUUAAUAUAAACUAUUUAUAUGAUGAAAUCUAUGGUAUUUAUUCAGAUAUAUAUUAAGUUUUAUUUGCAAUAUGUAAUAUCCGCGCAUUAAAUUUGCUUUGAAUUGAGAAAACUGCAUUGUGACGUGACUUUAUUCAAUCAGUUUUUUUCAAGCAAAUCAAUAAUGUGAGUGGAAUAAUU
rnacentral:lncRNA from 1 species